GGUCACACCAAUGGUAUACAAGAUGUGGCAAGGCCAGAAGACCUACAGAGAGAGGUGAUUGACCAAAUGAAUGUGCGCAAGCUUUUACCUAUGGAUGCAACAGUUGACUAUGAUGAAGCUGGACCAAAUUUUAAUCAUACCCCAGGCGGAGGAUACCCUCCUAUAAGAAUAAAAAAUGACAAUUAAUCUUUAAAUGAUUUUCUAAAUAUAUAAAACCUUAAGCUUUAUGUAUUGAACUCUCAAAUCUAUAUAACCGUUAUCACCUUCUAAACUAUAUUAAUAAGUUUAGAGUUCAA